rnacentral:rRNA from 1 species
CAGCCGCCGCGGUAAUACAGAGGGUGCGAGCGUUAAUCGGAUUUACUGGGCGUAAAGCGUGCGUAGGCGGCUUCUUAAGUCGGAUGUGAAAUCCCUGAGCUUAACUUAGGAAUUGCAUUCGAUACUGGGAAGCUAGAGUAUGGGAGAGGAUGGUAGAACUCCAGGUGUAGCGGUGAAAUGCGUAGAGAUCUGGAGGAAUACCGAUGGCGAAGGCAGCCAUCUGGCCUAAUACUGACGCUGAGGUACGAAAGCAUGGGGAGCAAACAGGAUUAGAUACCCCGGUAGUCCCUGUCUCUUAUAC